AGUGAACGCUGGCGGUAGGCCUAACACAUGCAAGUCGAACGGCAGCACAGUAAGAGCUUGCUCUUACGGGUGGCGAGUGGCGGACGGGUGAGGAAUACAUCGGAAUCUACUUUUUCGUGGGGGAUAACGUAGGGAAACUUACGCUAAUACCGCAUACGGCCUACGGGUGAAAGCAGGGGAUCUUCGGACCUUGCGCGAUUGAAUGAGCCGAUGUCGGAUUAGCUGGUUGGCGGGGUAAAGGCCCACCAAGGCGACGAUCCGUAGCUGGUCUGAGAGGAUGAUCAGCCACACUGGAACUGAGACACGGUCCAGACUCCUACGGGAGGCAGCAGUGGGGAAUAUUGGACAAUGGGCGCAAGCCUGAUCCAGCCAUACCGCGUGGGUGAAGAAGGCCUUCGGGUUGUAAAGCCCUUUUGUUGGGAAAGAAAAGCAGCAGGUUAAUACCCCGCUGUUCUGACGGUACCCAAAGAAUAAGCACCGGCUAACUUCGUG
rnacentral:rRNA from 1 species